UUAACGUUAGCAGAAAAAAUCGAAUUGAAAAACUUUUGGAGUCUUUGUUUGAGAAAUUACAUUUAAUUGGAAACAUAUAAAUUCAGCUCUUAUAUCAAACCUUUCUGAUUCACCAGUGCAGACGUUUUCUGAGUUUCUGGAUCGGCCUGGUGAGGACACCACAGAAGGAAUGGACUUGGAUUAAUGAACAUCCUUUCAACCACAGCUGGUGGAGUUUGGACAUCACAACACAAGGCGACUGUGUCAGCGCAUCUCAGGAGACUCUCCAAAGUCAGAAUUGCAGCACACUGCAA